rnacentral:rRNA from 1 species
UACGUAGGGGCCAAGCGUUGUCCGGAUUCAUUGGGCGGAAAGAGCUCGCAGGCGGUUCGUCGCGUCGGCUGUGAAAUCCCGAGGCUCAACCUCGGGUCUGCAGUCGAUACGGGCGGACUGGAGUACUGCAGGGGAGACUGGAAUUCCUGGUGUAGCGGUGAAAUGCGCAGAUAUCAGGAGGAACACCGGUGGCGAAGGCGGGUCUCUGGGCAGUUACUGACGCUGAGGAGCGAAAGCGUGGGGAGCGAACAGG